rnacentral:rRNA from 1 species
GACGAACGCUGGCGGCGUGCCUAAUACAUGCAAGUAGAACGCACAGUUUAUACCGUAGCUUGCUACACCAUAGACUGUGAGUUGCGAACGGGUGAGUAACGCGUAGGUCACCUGCCUGGUAGCGGGGGAUAACUAUUGGAAACGAUAGCUAAUACCGCAUAAUAUUAAUUAUUGCAUGAUAAUUAAUUGAAAGGUGCAAUUGCACCACUACCAGAUGGACCUGCGUUGUAUUAGCUAGUAGGUGAGGUAACGGCUCACCUAGGCGACGAUACAUAGCCGACCUGAGAGGGUGAUCGGCCACACUGGGACUGAGGCACGGCCCAGACUCCUACGGGAGGCAGCAGUAGGGAAUCUUCGGCAAUGGACGAAAGUCUGACCGAGCAACGCCGCGUGAGUGAAGAAGGUUUUCGGAUCGUAAAGCUCUGUUGUAAGAGAAGAACGGGUGUGAGAGUGGAAAGUUCACACUGUGACGGUAUCUAACCAGAAAGGGACGGCUAACUACGUG